rnacentral:rRNA from 1 species
CCUACGGGAGGCAGCAGUGGGGAAUAUUGCACAAUGGGGGAAACCCUGAUGCAGCAACGCCGCGUGAAGGAAGAAGGCUUUCGGGUUGUAAACUUCUUUUCUCAGGGACGAAGAAAGGGACGGUACCUGAGGAAUAAGCCACGGCUAACUACGUGCCAGCAGCCGCGGUAAUACGUAGGUGGCAAGAGUGAUCAGGAUUUAUUGGGUGUAAAGGGCGUGUAGGCGGGAGCGCAAGUCUGAUGUGAAAACGCAGGGCUCAACCCUGAGCCUGCAUUUGAAACUGUGUUUAUUGAGUGCUGGAGAGGCAAUCGGAAUUCCGUGUGUAGCGGUGAAAUGCGUAGAUAUACGGAGGAACACCAGUGGCGAAGGCAGAUUGCUGGACAGUAACUGACGCUGAGGCGCGAAAGCGUGGGGAGCAAACAGGAUUAGAUACCCUAGUAGUC